GCCUAUCACCAUUCCAGAUUGAAUAUACCCGAUCUCGUCUGAUCUCGGAAGUCAAGCAAUCUCGGGCUUGGUUAGUACUUGGAUGGGUGACCGCUUGAGAAUACCAAGUGUGAUAAGCA
rnacentral:rRNA from 1 species